rnacentral:lncRNA from 1 species
AAAUAAACGUGUUAUAAUAAAUACUUUAGAGAAGAGAGCAGAUUUUACUACACAAAAUGGUAUUUAUAGAAUAAAUCAACUAAAGUCGAGUGACAGUGGCCAGUAUCGACUCGAAGUUUUUGUAGAUGGGGGACAAAAAGAAGAACGGAUACUAAAAUUGUCUUUUCAAGGUCAGUUGUUUCUUUUUGGUUUGUCCAUAUAGAGUAAAGUUUACACUCAGAUUAUAUAUAAUCUGUAAACAAUCUCUUACACAGCUCCAGUAUCUUCUGUCCAGCUCGUCCCUACAUGUCUUUCUAUGGGGGAGAAGAAAGUUUCCUGCUCCUCUAAAGGGGACAGUCUUCUCUACAGCUGGACUCUGGAUGGACGCCCUCUGACAGACUCUGACCUCGUCCCAAAGGGCAGCAACACCAACAAUGUCCACCUGAAACUACAAACUGUAGGAAAACUGGUCUGUCAUGUCCAAAACAAAGUCAGCGAAAGCUCUGGUGAAGUGAAGUUAACCACUUGUGGUGAGUUAAAAAAAAGAUGAACGUAGAACAGGAAUAAUCAAAGCAUGCCUGAUAAAGUGCACGUCUUUGUUCCCAGGUUACAUCUUCAUAAACUGCACUUUGUCCAAUGGGACAGACAUAUUGCAGUGGGUGCUUGAGGCCACUAACACGUUGUGUGUUGACCCAACAACAGCCCCUAUGGGUGUGGAAAAUCACUGUGAUGGCAGACAGAAUAACGCUCAGUGUUAUGCAGCUUUGGAUGGAUCUAUAUUCAUCAGGCUGAUGGACAGCGCUGUAGAAAAUCAUACAUACAACUGGAAUAAAGAUAAAAGUAGAUUAUUGGUAGUGAAUAAUAAACGUGUUAUAACAAAUACUUUAGAGAAGAGAGCAGAUUUUACUACACAAAAUGGUAUUUAUAGAAUAAAUCAACUAAAGUCGAGUGACAGUGGCCAGUAUCGACUCGAAGUUUUUGUAGAUGGGGGAAAAAAAGAAGAAGAACGGAUACUAAAUUUGUCUGUUCAAGCUCCAGUAUCUUCUGUCCAGCUCGUCCCUACAUGUCUUUCUAUGGGGGAGAAGAAAGUUUCCUGCUCCUCUAAAGGGGACAGUCUUCUCUACAGCUGGACUCUGGAUGGACGUCCUCUGACAGACUCUGACCUCGUCCCAAAGGGCAGCAACACCAACAUUAUUCACCUGAAACUACAAACUGUAGGAAAACUGGUCUGUCAUGUCCAAAACAAUGUCAGCAAAAGCUCUGGUGAAGUGACGUUAACCACUUGUGGUUACAUCUUCAUAAACUGCACUUUGUCCAAUGGGACAGACAUAUUGCAGUGGGUGCUUGAGGCCACUAACACGUUGUGUGUUGACCCAACAACAGCCCCUAUGGGUGUGGAAAAUCACUGUGAUGGCAGACAGAAUAACGCUCAGUGUUAUGCAGCUUUGGAUGGAUCUAUAUUCAUCAGGCUGAUGGACAGCGCUGUAGAAAAUCAUAUAUACAUGUGGUUUAAAUAUACAAGUAAAUUAUUGGUAGUGAAUAAUAAACGUGUUAUAAUGAAUACUUUAGAGAAGAGAGCAGAUUUUACUACACAAAAUGGUAUUUAUAGAAUAAAUCAACUAAAGUCGAGUGACAGUGGCCAGUAUCGACUUGAAUAUUUUGUAGAUGGGGGAAAAAAAGAAGAACGGAAACUAAAUUUGUCUGUUCAAGCUCCAGUAUCUUCUGUCCAGCUCGUCCCUACAUGUCUUUCUAUGGGGGAGAAGAAAGUUUCCUGCUCCUCUAAAGGGGACAGUCUUCUCUACAGCUGGACUCUGGAUGGACGCCCUCUGACAGACUCUGACCUCGUCCCAAAGGGCAGCAACACCAACAUUAUUCACCUGAAACUACAAACUGUAGGAAAACUGGUCUGUCAUGUCCAAAACAAAGUCAGCAAAAGCUCUGGUGAAGUGACGUUAACCACUUGUGGUUACAUCUUCAUAAACUGCACUUUGUCCAAUGGGACAGACAUAUUGCAGUGGGUGCUUGAGGCCACUAACACGUUGUGUGUUGACCCAACAACAGCCCCUAUGGGUAAGGAGCCUCCCACUGAUUCAGUUACUGUCACUUCUACCAAUGUGACAAGCAGCAGCCAUGACCUGUGCUCAUAUUC